CAGAGUUGCAAAACUCCCACAAACCAUCGCGAAUCUUACCCGUACGGUUGCCUCGGCGCUGGCGGUCCGGAAGGCCCUCGGGCCCCCGGAUCCUCGGGUCUCCCGCUCGCGGGAGGCUGCCCGCCGGAGUGCCGAAACUAAACUCUUGAUAUCUUAUGUCUCUCUGAGUACACUUUUAAAUAAGUCA
rnacentral:misc_RNA from 1 species